GGGCAAUUAGCUCAGUGGUUAGAGCGCUUCGUUGACAUCGAAGAGGCCACUGGUCCGAUUCCAGUAUUGCCCA
rnacentral:tRNA from 1 species